rnacentral:rRNA from 1 species
AUUGAACGCUGGCGGCAUGCCUUACACAUGCAAGUCGAACGGCAGCACAGAGGAGCUUGCUCCUUGGGUGGCGAGUGGCGGACGGGUGAGGAAUACAUCGGAAUCUACUCUGUCGUGGGGGAUAACGUAGGGAAACUUACGCUAAUACCGCAUACGACCUACGGGUGAAAGCAGGGGACCUUCGGGCCUUGCGCGAUUGAAUGAGCCGAUGUCGGAUUAGCUAGUUGGCGGGGUAAAGGCCCACCAAGGCGACGAUCCGUAGCUGGUCUGAGAGGAUGAUCAGCCACACUGGAACUGGGACACGGUCCAGACUCCUACGGGAGGCAGCAGUGGGGAAUAUUGGACAAUGGGCGCAAGCCUGAUCCAGCCAUACCGCGUGGGUGAAGAAGGCCUUCGGGUUGUAAAGCCCUUUUGUUGGGAAAGAAAUCCAGCUGGUUAAUACCCGGUUGGGAUGACGGUACCCAAAGAAUAAGCACCGGCUAACUUCGUGCCAGCCGCCGCCGUAAUAC